rnacentral:rRNA from 1 species
AGCAGGUGACAGCCCUGUAGAUGUAAAGGUAGUUAACGUAGCAGGAUCCUGAGUAGGUGGGGACCGGUGAAAUCCCCUCUGAAUCUGGCGGCACCAUCCGCCAAGGCUAAAUACUCCCGAGAGACCGAUAGUGAACGAGUACCGUGAGGGAAAGGUGAAAAGUACCCCGAAUAGGGGGGUGAAAAGACCCUGAAACCGCACGCUUACAAGCGGUCGGAGCCAGUUUUCUGGUGACGGCGUGCCUUUUGCAUAAUGACCCUACGAGUUACGGUUACUGGCUAGGUUAAGUAUUGCAGAUACGGAGCCGAAGCGAAAGCGAGUCUGAAUAGGGCGAAGCAAGUCAGUGGCUGUAGACGCGAAACUUUGUGAUCUACCCAUGACCAGGUUGAAGUGUCGGUAACACGACAUGGAGGACCGAACCAGUUGACGUUGAAAAGUCUUUGGAUGAGUUGUGGGUAGGGGUGAAAGGCCAAUCAAACUGAGAGAUAGCUCGUACUCCCCGAAAUGUUUUUAGGAACAGCCUUGGGAUUGAGUUAUACGGAGGUAAAGCUACCGAUAGGACUAGGGGGAGUCAAAUCCUACCAAAUCCUGACGAACUCUGAAUGCCGUAUAAUAUGCCCAGGAGUGAGGGCUGGGGUGCUAAGGUCCCAGUCCGAGAGGGAAAGAACCCAGACCAUCCGCUAAGGCCCCUAAAUCAGGGCUAAGUUGAACAAAGGAGGUCCGACUGCAGAGACAGCCAGGAUGUUAGCUUGGAAGCAGCUNUAUUCAUUUAAAGAGUGCGUAACAGCUCACUGGUCGAGCGGGGCGGGCAUCGAUAAUAAACGGGCAUCAAGUCUUGUGCCGAAGCGAUGGAAGUAGUAAUACUUGGUAGGGGAGCAUUCUCAACGGCAGUGAAGGUGUGGCGGCAAGCCAUGCUGGAGCGUUGAGAAAAGCAAAUGUAGGGAUAAGUAACGAUAAGGAAGGUGAGAAACCUUCCCGCCGUAAGGAUCAGGAUUCCUCAGCUAUGCUAAUCA